CGGAAACAAUUGCCCGAAGUUUUUAGUUAAUCAAUAAAGUUGAAUAGUUUUUACUUUUGAUAAAACUUAUUUAGUUAUAUGUGUGUGUGAAGUGAAGAAAUCAAAUUCAACUGCAAAAGUGUCAAGUAAUUAAAAAUCAACUUCAAACCCUAAAUAACAACAAUGGAUUUUGCUGUACAGACGAAGCGCCCGCCAAACGUCUGAUUUAUCAGAAUAAAAACCGCAAAUCAAAUUCAUCUGUUGGAACAUUCAUUUUCACUCGGAAUUCAAUUCGGAAAAAAAUGUGGAAAUUAUAUAGUGGAAGUGAAAGAUAGAAUACCGAAAGUCGGAUUAAAAGUGAGAUGCCGCACAGUGUUCACUGUAGACGCUAUUGUUGCUGUGGAGCAAAGUAUCAAAGAAGGCCCGAAUGAGUUCAUCCGCCAUGGCGCGCCACACCCUUUAUGGCGUAUUAAGAGAAUUUAUAAUGUGCCGAAUAUUUAAUUUAAAAAUACAUCUUUAGCUUACUAUCCUGAC